ACUACGGGAGGCAGCAGUGGGGAAUAUUGGGCAAUGGGCGCAAGCCUGACCCAGCAACGCCGCGUGAAGGAAGAAGGCUUUCGGGUUGUAAACUUCUUUUGUCAGGGACGAAGCAAGUGACGGUAACUGACGAAUAAGCCACGGCUAACUACGUGCCAGCAGCCGCGGUAAUACGUAGGUGGCAAGCGUUAUCCGGAUUUACUGGGUGUAAAGGGCGUGUAGGCGGGGAAGCAAGUCAGAUGUGAAAACCACGGGCUCAACCUGUGGCCUGCAUUUGAAACUGUUUUUCUUGAGUGCUGGAGAGGCAAUCGGAAUUCCGUGUGUAGCGGUGAAAUGCGUAGAUAUACGGAGGAACACCAGUGGUGAAGGCGGAUUGCUGGACAGUAACUGACGCUGAGGCGCGAAAGCGUGGGGAGCAAACAGGAUUAGAUACCCCGGUAGUC
rnacentral:rRNA from 1 species